rnacentral:rRNA from 1 species
AGACGACGCUCGCGGCGUGCUUAACACAUGCAAGUCGAACGAGGUCCACUGCGUAGCAAUACAAGGGAAGACCUAGUGGCGAACGGGUGCGUAACACGUGAGGAACUUGUCCCGGUCUCUGGGAUAACAGUUGGAAACGACUGCUAAUACCGGAUGACGUCGGAAUCUCGCAUGGGAUACUGACGAAAGGGUUACUGGAUCGGGAGAGCCUCGCGGCCUAUCAGCUUGUUGGUGAGGUAACGGCUCACCAAGGCAUCGACGGGUAGCUGGUCUGAGAGGAUGAUCAGCCACACUGGGACUGAGACACGGCCCAGACUCCUACGGGAGGCAGCAGUGGGGAAUCUUGCGCAAUGGGCGAAAGCCUGACGCAGCAACGCCGCGUGCGGGAAGAAGGCCCUCGGGUUGUAAACCGCUUUCAGUAGGAACGAAAAUGACGGUACCUGCAGAAGAAGGUGCGGCCAACUACGUG